rnacentral:rRNA from 1 species
ACACUCCUACGGGAGGCAGCAGUGGGGAAUUUUGGACAAUGGGCGAAAGCCUGAUCCAGCAAUGCCGCGUGAGUGAAGAAGGCCUUCGGGUUGUAAAGCUCUUUUGUCAGGGAAGAAACGGUGAAAGCUAAUAUCUUUUGCUAAUGACGGUACCUGAAGAAUAAGCACCGGCUAACUACGUGCCAGCAGCCGCGGUAAUACGUAGGGUGCAAGCGUUAAUCGGAAUUACUGGGCGUAAAGCGUGCGCAGGCGGUUUUGUAAGUCUGAUGUGAAAUCCCCGGGCUCAACCUGGGAAUUGCAUUGGAGACUGCAAGGCUAUAAUCUGGCAGAGGGGGGUAGAAUUCCACGUGUAGCAGUGAAAUGCGUAGAUAUGUGGAGGAACACCGAUGGCGAAGGCAGCCCCCUGGGUCAAGAUUGACGCUCAUGUACGAAAGCGUGGGGAGCAAACAGGAUUAGAUACCCCGGUAGUCCCA